rnacentral:lncRNA from 12 species
CUCCGCAGAGCCCCGCCCCUCCGCAGAGCCCCGCCCCUCUAUCAGGUGGCCUGGAGGACCCUGGGCACUCUGGCUCCCAGCAGGAUGCUCCCAGGGCGUCUUGCCAGUCCCCCCUCACCUGUGCACGCAGUGUGGCCACACGGGGGUGGGGUGGGGGGUGGGCAGACCUGCAGCUAAGGGGCAGAAGACAGAGCCCAGUGGGAGGAAGGGCCUAGCCCGCACCUCCGCUGCCUUCGGGAGCAGGGGCUGCUCUUCGUUCAGCAAAUAAAAAGCCAGAGGACCCUGAACAAGUGGCUAAGAACAACUCUCCUCGGAACGCAUUGCUGCUGGCCGGCUUUCAGAAGAAUCAGGAAAGAUAAGCAAUGAACAAUAAAGGGAUGACGUGAAACGGGGUCAUUUGUAAGGAUUCUGGCCGGGCGCCCGUUGGUGAGGCGUGCGUGCUCAGCGAUCCUGGCUAAGCGGACGACACGGCCAGUUACCAUCAGUAAAAGUCUGAAGUAUGGAAGAAAACCGAAGCCAAAGCCAUAUUAACGUUGAAGGCCUAUAUAUAUAUGUUCUGUCCCAGAGUGCACUGAAAAUCCAAGGUAGGGAGCAAUCUGGCAUCUGGCUCUUAACUGCUCCAUCGUCAGCAAGCUCCCUUCCCGACCAGCUGCUUGGGCGUCCCAGCCAGCGGGACGGAUGCGGAGAAGGGGGAUGCCUCGGUCAGCUCGGUGCCGUCACAACAGACAUUUAUUCUUCACACUUCGGGAGGCGGCAGGUCCGACCGAGAUCAGGGUACCUCGCGGCUGGGUUCUCGGUGAGGCCUCUCUCCCUGGCUUGCAGACGGCUGCCUUCUCGCCGUGUCCUCACAUGGCACAGACGGAACCAGUCUCUUCCUCUUGUAAGGACGCCGAUCCCACCCGGGGCCCCCACCCAGGACCUCAUCUAAACCCAAGUUCUUCUCGGGACGCCUGGGUGGCUCAGUGGCUGAGCGUCUGCCUUUGGCUCAGGUGGUGACCCCGUGGUCCCCCUGCAGGGAGCCUGCUUCUCCCUCUGCCUGGGUCUCUGCCUCUCUCGGUGUGUCUCAUGAAUAAAUAAAAAUCUAAAACAAACA